AUUGAACGCUGGGGGCAGGCCUAACACAUGCAAGUCGAGCGAGCGGCGGACGGGUGAGUAAUGUAUGGGGACUGCCCGAUAGAGGGGGAUAACUAAUGGAAACGGUGGCUAAUACCGCAUACUAUCGGAUAACCCAUAUGGGAUAAGCUAGUAGGUGGGGUAAAGGCUCACCUAGGCGACGAUCUCUAGCUGGUCUGAGAGGAUGAUCAGCACCACUGAGACUGGGACCCGGCCCAGACUCCGACGGAGGCAGCAGUGGGCAAUAUUGCACAUUUGGCGCAACCCUAAUGCAGCAAUGCCGCGUGUAUGAAGAAUGCCUUAGGGUUGUUAAGUGCUUUCAGCGGGGAGGCGUUACCCUCAGAAGAAGCACCGGCUAACUCCGUGCCCACAGCCGCGGUAAUAC
rnacentral:rRNA from 1 species